CCUACGGGAGGCAGCAGUAGGGAAUUUUGCGCAAUGGGCGAAAGCCUGACGCAGCAACACCGCGUGAAUGUUGAGCCCUUCGUGGUGUAAAGUUCUGUCAAUAGGGACGAUUUUUUGCUUUACCUAUAAAGUAAGCACCGUCUAACUCCGUUCCAGCAGCCGCGGUAAUACGGGGGGUGCAGGCGUUGUCCGGAAUCAUUGGGCGUAAAGCGUUCGUAGGCGGCAAGGUAGGUCUGAUGUUAAAGCCCGGGGCUCAACUCCGGUUCGGCAUUGGAUACUAGCUAGCUAGAAUGUGGUAGAGGUAAAGGGAAUUCGUGGUGUAGCGGUGAAAUGCGUAGAUAUCAGGAGGAACAUCGGUGGCGAAAGCGCUUUACUGGACCAUUAUUGACGCUGAGGAACGAAAGCCAGGGGAGCAAAUGGGAUUAGAUACCCGAGUAGUC
rnacentral:rRNA from 1 species